CUCUGGUAUUCAUAAAGUAGUCUUAAAGCGUUAUAAAUACUGUUUUGUAAAAGUGUCUCAUCUGUUGAAUUAUUUUCUAUAUUGCAAGUCUAUUGAUUAAAAAAUGCCUAACAGAGAGGCAUACAUUUCCCUACACCGUACCAGGAAUGUGAUUAUUUACACAGAAUCACAGAAUUUCU